UGUCCCGGUGGACGUGGCCGAGGGCUUUGGGCGUGUGGCGCGGGCUCUUGAACAUGAAGACUUCCGGGGCUGCGGUGGUGGGGAAGUCGACCGGCUGCCUCGUAGCGGAAAAGUGAGCGAGGCAGAACAGUUUACGGUCUUCACGGGUAGCUUUUUCGAGGGUAGGGUCCGUUCUCAUGCUUGGCGAAGCCCGGGAGGUGGAGCCUGAUCGCAGCCAGGCCCUUGCAGCCUGCGGCGGUCCGUGAACGCCGGCCUCUCCCUCAUCUUCCAGUAAGCUUAGGUCUGAGGUGGAGGGCGAGGCAUGGUAUGUUUGACAAGCUGGAGAAAUAAGGGGACUCAGACUUCGCAAAGCAGUUACCAACCUGUUGGAGUAAAUGCUCAACGUUCAGCUUAAAUGUAACUCAAGUUUUUAAAGCUUGGCGUAGUCUUUCACGGUUGAAAGACUAGCAGUUUUUUCUCUUGAAAGUUACCCAUUCGUAUUGAUUAAUAUUUCCUAACCUGUACCCGGAGCCAGGACCCAUGCUCACAGCCAUCGCAAAGUCGCAAAGGGGGAAGAAGGUGAAAACCAACAUGCUUAAGAUUUGCGACCAGAAUGGCAUUCCCUAAACUGUGUUCUCUGAAACAUCAGGCCUCUGCAAAAUGUUAAUAGCUGCUUCGUGGAAAAAAUUUACAGCAUCAAUACUGAGGAAAACACAAAUUAUUGGAAGUACACCGGUAUAGCAUUCUUGCCAAAAUGUUUGGCCUGAAUCUGUGAAGAAACACUCAGAUAAAUUCAGGAUGUGAUUUUCAUGGACUUUUCAGGAAUGUCAGUAUCAUGAAAGGCAAACAACAAAAGACAGAAGGACUGAUCAUCAUUAAUGGUUUGAAAUAUUCAGGAUUAAGAAGUUGGGGAAAAGGAAUUGACUCAUGCAUUAUGAAGGCCAAGAAAUCCCAUGAUCUGCAGUCUGCAAGAUGGAGAACCAGGAAAGUUGGUGGUUUAAUUUGGUCCCAAUCCAAGGAUGUGAGAACCAAGAGCACCAGGGUCCAAAGGCAGGAGACCAUGGAUGUCUCAGCUCAAGCGCAGAAACCAUAGUCACUCUUCCUGGGCCUCUCUGUUUUCAGGCCCUCAACAAAUUGGAUGAUGCUCACCCACACUGCACAGUGGCCAGCACAGGACGGUGCCAGUAACUGCUUAACAAAUGAAACCAACUGUCAUCUCUGCUACAAAGACCAACCUUUAGACCUGAAUUUCCUGCAUGUCUCUCUGCCUGUCUGUCAUCAUCACCUAACUCAAGGAUAAACUAAUUUACUUAUCAAGGGUCACAAAAACCUAAAUCAAACUACAUGAAGCAGAAAAGGGGAUUCUCCAUCAGCAUUCCGGCGCGUCCCAGGCUAGCCAAGUACAGGAACAUGGCAGCACUUGACAAAUCCUAGACCCGGGAACCAGAUGCCCUGAGGACCCUGUCUCAUUCCUCGUCACCAGCCCACAGAGCAGGAGAUGGCAGAAGGCAAUUCCCAAGGUUUCCUACAGCUUCAGCCAGGCACAGAGAAACUCUUCCUGACUUCCAGUCCCAGAAAAGGCCUCUGCCUGGACCACCUGAUCACAUUAUACCAUAUAAUAAACCCCACAGUAACCCUGCGGGUUGGAGGCACGUCUUUAGAACUUGAUGGGCAGGUGUGGGAGUGUUCCAAACCACAGGUAACUGUCACACGGACUUCUACUUAGAUUGUUCUCUUGCCCCAAAGUCUAUUAAAAUGCUUCCAUCCUCCAAGGAUCAACCUUAAACACCACUUUCCCUCUAAAACCUUUAUUGAUCUCUACUCAGCCAAGUCUGAACUCUUUUUUCUUUCCUCUAUGCUUUUCAUUUUGCCUUCUUUUAUAGAAGUUGACAUCUCUGCAAACUGGCAAGGGUAAGAAAACAAUAGGAUUAACUAGAUUUUUGUGUCAGCCAAUUCUGAUUUCCAUACUACCUAGUUAGGUGACUUUGGACAAAUUCUUUAGUUUCUAAACUAGUUUCCUCAUUUAUAAAAAAAUAAAUAAAUGACAUAAGGCAUCAAGGACAGAGCAAUAGCUCACAUGUUCUUGUGAGGAUGAGAAGAUGUGUAGACACCCCAGGCACAGAGCCUGGCUCUGUGGACACUCAUGAAGUGCUGGUUUUCUCUCACUGGACUAUAAAGUCCUGGAGGUCAUGAUUUCUCACUGAGCUUAUCAAAUGUUUUAAAGCAGGUCUUCAUCAAAUGUUUGCUGAAUUGAACUCUUCUGAUUGCCUUCCAAGGCAGAUUUAAUCUGCAGUUAUUAAUACUAUCGAGAGGUUCUAAAUGCUUUGCAAUUAUUGACUUAAUCUCUGAGAUAACCCAUGAGACAGGCUUAUUGCCUCUAUUUUACAGUGAGGAAAAGCAGGUGCAUUAGAGUUCAGAAACUUGCUAGAGCUCCAACACAGUGAAGUGGUGGAAUAACACAGUGGCUCCAGGGCCCUGCACUUUUUUGGGGGGCUGAGCCUGCAGCAUGUGAAAGUUCCUGGGCCAGGGAUGGAACUCAGCAUCCACAAGCUGCUGUAGGGAUGACACUGGAUCCUUAACCUGCUGUGCCACCAGGGAACUCCUGGGGCCUUGUACUUCUAAUCAUUCCAGCCUGUGGUUUCUUAGGGGCAGAAAACAUGUUAACUAUGAAACUGGUCACCUUUCCUUUUUUUGGUUUGAACUAGUUUAAAUUUUUUCCAGUAACCCAAACUAAUAGUUCCUUUGAUGUUUUCAUUCCUUUCAUGGAAAACUUCCAGGAGACUUAACAGAUGAUAGUGGUCCUACAAGAUUUUACCAUAAAUACAGAUACCUCCAGUUGAGCACGAAGGGCCAAUUUAUGCACCAUGCUUCCAACUCAUAGGGUCCCGGACCCAGUAGGUUUUAAUCUCCUGGACCACCUGGGAGCUUUACCUGUAGAUCUCCAAGCUGGCGACCAGCUCUGCUACACCAAUUAACCACUUGCAUAACUGUCCUAGUAGGCAGCCUUGGGAACUUGGGAAAAAAAAAAAAAAAAAAAAAAAAAAAAAGCUGUGCCCUAGGAA